rnacentral:rRNA from 1 species
GAAUGGGGAAACCCAGCAUGAGUUAUGUCAUGUUAUCGAUAUGUGAAUACAUAGCAUAUCAGAAGGCACACCCGGAGAACUGAAACAUCUUAGUACCCGGAGGAAGAGAAAGAAAAUUCGAUUCCCUUAGUAGCGGCGAGCGAAACGGGAAGAGCCCAAACCAAAAAGCUUGCUUGUUGGGGUUGUAGGACACUCUAUACGGAGUUACAAAGGACGACAUUAGACGAAUCAUCUGGAAAGAUGAAUCAAAGAAGGUAAUAAUCCUGUAGUCGAAAAUGUUGUCUCUCUUGAGUGGAUCCUGAGUACGACGGAGCACGUGAAAUUCCGUCGGAAUCUGGGAGGACCAUCUCCUAAGGCUAAAUACUCUCUAGUGACCGAUAGUGAACCAGUACCGUGAGGGAAAGGUGAAAAGCACCCCGGAAGGAGAGUGAAAUAGAACCUGAAACCGUGUGCUUACAAGUAGUCAGAGCCCGUUAAUGGG